rnacentral:ncRNA from 1 species
UAUCAAUUUGGUUCUAGUUGGUUAUUUAGCUUAUAGGGUGUAAAAUACAUGGAUUUUUUUGAAGUGAGUGAGUUGUGGGUUAAUUGUUUAGUGGUUUAAUAUUUCUAUUUAAAUAAUGCUUGAGUAUUAUUUUAACUUAGUUUAAAUAAGAUACUCAGAGUAAUUCACUUCACCAGUAUUGGAGAUUAAGAAUUCAGGUAACUGUGACUUAGUAAUUUCUUAAGAGACUUGGAAAAAUUUGUGCCAGCUUCCGCGGUUAUACAGAUAAGUCAAGUUAAAUUUGGAUUGGUAUAAAAUGUAGUAAGUAUUAGAUUUUUUUAAGGUAAAUAGGGGAUUAUAGUUUGAUGGUAAAAUUGUUCAAAUGAUAUGUUGAGCUGUUUUUAUCUGAAAUAUGAUUUCUACGAAAUCUUUUAUUUAAACCGGGAUUAGAUACCCCGUUAUUUAAGAUGUUAAUAGCUUAAGAUACCUGAGUAUUACUGGAGUAAAACUGUUAAAUUUUAAUGUGUUUUUAUAGUCUUAAAACUCAAAGGACUUGGCGGUGUUUUAAGCCCUUUCAGGGGAACCUGUUCCGUUAUCGAUAGUCCACGAAGAACCUUACUUUUUUUUGUAUUUCAGUUUGUAUACCGUCGUCGUCAGGUGACCUCUAAAGGGAUGAAGAGUUGGCUGAUAGAAAAUAUUUAGCUCUAAACGUCAGAUCAAGGUGCAGCUUAUAGAAAAGUGGAGAUGGGUUACGGAUAUAAAAUUUUUUAUGGGUUUUGUUUUGAAAUAAAAUGAGAUAAAAACGGACUUGAGAGUAAUUUUAUAGGUAAGAGAGAAAAAUUGAAGAUGGUUUUAAAACGUGCACAAAUCGCCCGUCGCUCUCAUUGAAAAUUGAGAUAAGUCGUAACAUAGUAAGGGUACUGGAAGGUGUUCUUGAGAUUAA